rnacentral:rRNA from 1 species
CAGCUCUUCAAGUGGUCGGGAUAAUUAUUGGGCUUAAAGUGUCCGUAGCCGGUUUAGUAAGUUCCUGGGUAAAAUCGGGGUAGCUUAACUAUCUGUAUGCUAGGAAUACUGCUAAACUAGAGGGCGGGAGAAGUCUGAGGUACUACAGGGGUAGGGGUGAAAUCUUAUAAUCCUUGUAGGACCACCAGUGGCGAAGGCGUCAGACUGGAACGUGCCUGACGGUGAGGGACGAAAGCCAGGGGAGCGAACCGGAUUAGAUACCCGGGUAGUCCUGGCCGUAAACGAUGCAUACUAGGUGAUGGCAUGGCCAUGAGCCGUGUCAGUGCCGUAGGGAAACCGUUAAGUGUGCCGCCUGGGAAGUACGGUCGCAAGGCUA